rnacentral:rRNA from 1 species
UACGUAUGGAGCGAGCGUUAUCCGGAUUCACAGGGUGUAAAGGGAGCGUAGGCGGCGCGCCAAGUCCGAUGUGAAAACCCGCGGCCCAACCGCGGGACUGCAUUGGAAACUGGCGAGCUAGAGUGUCGGAGGGGCAGGCGGAAUUCCUGGUGUAGCGGUGAAAUGCAUAGAUAUCAGGAGGAACACCGGUGGCGAAGGCGGCCUGCUGGACGACUACUGACGCUGAGACUCGAGAGCGUGGGGAGCAAAC